rnacentral:rRNA from 1 species
UGGGGAAUAUUGCACAAUGGGCGCAAGCCUGAUGCAGCCAUGCCGCGUGUGUGAAGAAGGCCUUCGGGUUGUAAAGCACUUUCAGCGGGGAGGAAGGCGAUAAGGUUAAUAACCUUGUCGAUUGACGUUACCCGCAGAAGAAGCACCGGCUAACUCCGUGCCAGCAGCCGCGGUAAUACGGAGGGUGCAAGCGUUAAUCGGAAUUACUGGGCGUAAAGCGCACGCAGGCGGUCUGUCAAGUCGGAUGUGAAAUCCCCGGGCUCAACCUGGGAACUGCAUUCGAAACUGGCAGGAUAGAGUCUUGUAGAGGGGGGUAGAAUUCCAGGUGUAGCGGUGAAAUGCGUAGAGAUCUGGAGGAAUACCGGUGGCGAAGGCGGCCCCCUGGACAAAGACUGACGCUCAGGUGCGAAAGCGUGGGGAGCAAACAGG